rnacentral:lncRNA from 1 species
UUUUUUUUUUAAGAUUUAUUUAUUUAUUUAUUUAUUUGACAGAGAGAGAGACAGCCAGCGAGAGAGGGAACACAAGCAGGGGGAGUGGGAGAGGAAGAAGCAGCCUCCCAGCAGAGAAGCCUGAUAUGGGGCUCGAUCCCAGAAUGCUGGGAUCACGCCCUGAGCCGAAGGCAGACGCUUAACGACUGUGCCAUCCAGGCACCCCUGCAUGGUUUUUUUCUAAUAUUGUCCUCACUGAAAAAAGGCAACCAGCGAUAUACAGCAGAGCUGGAAAAUCCCAGGUGGUUUAUGGUUAAUGACAAAGGAGCAUCAGCAGCACUGAGUAAUGAGAACCGAGAGGGGGUGACAUGCCAAGCAGCCACGUAG